rnacentral:rRNA from 1 species
UACAGAGGGUGCGAGCGUUAAUCAGAAUUACUGGGCGUAAAGCGCGCGUAGGCGGCUUUGCAAGUCGGGUGUGAAAUCCCCAGGCUUAACCUGGGAACUGCAUUCGAGACUGCAUUGCUAGAGUAUGGGAGAGGGAAGUGGAAUUUCCGGUGUAGCGGUGAAAUGCGUAGAUAUCGGAAGGAACAUCAGUGGCGAAAGCGACUUCCUGGACCAAUACUGACGCUCAUGUGCGAAAGCGUGGGGAGCAAACAGG